GGAGAUAGCUGGUUCUCCUCGAAAUAGCUUUAGGGCUAGCGUCGGAUAUGAGUAGUGGAGGUAGAGCACUGAAUGGGCUAGGGGGCAUAGCGCUUACCGAACCUUAUCAAACUCCGAAUGCCACAUACUUUGAGCUCGGCAGUCAGACUACGAAUGAUAAGAUCCGUGGUCAAAAGGGAAACAGCCCAGAUCGUCAGCUAAGGUCCCAAAGUGUAAGUUAAGUGGGAAAGGAUGUGAGAUUUCUAAGACAACUAGGAUGUUGGCUUAGAAGCAGCCAUUCAUUAAAAGAGUGCGUAAUAGCUCACUAGUCGAGAGAUCUUGCGCCGAAAAUGUAACGGGGCUAAACUUACCACCGAAGCUACGGGCUUGAACUUAGUUCAAGCGGUAGGAGAGCGUCGUAACCGGGCUGAAGUCGUACCGUAAGGAGCGGUGGACUGGUUACGAGUGAGAAUGUUGGCAUCAGUAGCGAGAUGUGGGUGAGAAUCCCACAGGCCGAAAACCUAAGGUUUCCUCAGGAAGGUUCGUCCGCUGAGGGUUAGUCGGGACCUAAGCCGAGGCCGAAAGGCGUAGGUGAUGGACAACUGGUUGAUAUUCCAGUACCACUACCAUCGUUAUUAUCGAUGGCGUGACGCAGGAGGAUAGUGUGUGCUAGCUAUUGGAUGCUAGUCUAAGCGUUUAGGCAGUGAGAGUAGGCAAAUCCGCUCUCAUAAUGCUGAGGCGUGAUGGGGAAGGUUCUACGGAACCGAAGUACAUGAUUCCACGCUGCCAAGAAAAGCGUCUAGAGAGAGAAGUAGUGCCCGUACCGCAAACCGACACAGGUAGGUGAGGAGAGAAUCCUAAGGCCGGCGGAAGAAUUACAGUUAAGGAACUCGGCAAAUUGACCCCGUAAGUUCGCGAGAAGGGGUGCCUACGAGAGUAGGCCGCAGAGAAUAGGCCCAAGCAACUGUUUAGCAAAAACACAGGUCUCUGCUAAAGCGUAAGCUGAUGUAUAGGGGCUGACGCCUGCCCGGUGCUGGAAGGUUAAGGGGAACACUUAGCGCAAGCGAAGGUGUGAACUUAAGCCCCAGUAAACGGCGGCCGUAACUAUAACGGUCCUAAGGUAGCGAAAUUCCUUGUCAGGUAAGUUCUGACCCGCACGAAUGGCGUAAUGACUUGGGCACUGUCUCAACUGUAAAUCCGGCGAAGUUGUAGUGCGAGUGAAGAUGCUCGCUACCCGCGAUUGGACGGAAAGACCCCGUAGAGCUUUACUGUAGCUUAGCAUUGAGUUUUGGUAUUGUCUGUACAGGAUAGGUGGGAGACUAGGAAACCAGGGCGUCAGCCUUGGUGGAGUCAACCUUGGGAUACCACCCUGACAGUACUGAAAUUCUAACUGGCGGCCAUGAAUCUGGUCACAGGACAUUGUUAGGUGGGCAGUUUGACUGGGGCGGUCGCCUCCUAAAAAGUAACGGAGGCGCCCAAAGGUUCCCUCAGAACGGUCGGAAAUCGUUCGAAGAGUGCAAAGGCAGAAGGGAGCCUGACUGCGACACCCACAAGUGGAGCAGGGACGAAAGUCGGGCUUAGUGAUCCGGUGGUACCUCGUGGGAGGGCCAUCGCUCAACGGAUAAAAGCUACCUCGGGGAUAACAGGCUGAUCUCCCCCAAGAGUCCACAUCGACGGGGAGGUUUGGCACCUCGAUGUCGGCUCGUCGCAUCCUGGGGCUGAAGUAGGUCCCAAGGGUUGGGCUGUUCGCCCAUUAAAGCGGCACGCGAGCUGGGUUCAGAACGUCGUGAGACAGUUCGGUCCCUAUCCGUCGCGGGCGUAGGAAAUUUGAGAGGAGCUGUCCUUAGUACGAGAGGACCGGGAUGGACUGACCUCUGGUG
rnacentral:rRNA from 1 species